rnacentral:rRNA from 1 species
ACAACGAAGAGUUUGAUCCUGGCUCAGGAUGAACGCUAGCGGCAGGCCUAAUACAUGCAAGUCGAACGGUAAGGCACCUUCGGGUGUACACGAGUGGCGCACGGGUGAGUAACGCGUAUGCAACCUACCUUUAACUGGGGGAUAGCCCCGAGAAAUCGGGAUUAAUACCGCAUAAUGUUUUGAAAAGGCAUUUUUUUAAAACCAAAACUCCGGUGGUUAAAGAUGGGCAUGCGUGACAUUAGUUUGUUGGUGAGGUAACGGCUCACCAAGACUACGAUGUCUAGGGGGUUUGAGAGGAUGAUCCCCCACACUGGUACUGAGAUACGGACCAGACUCCUACGGGAGGCAGCAGUAGGGAAUAUUGGUCAAUGGGCGAAAGCCUGAACCAGCCAUGCCGCGUGCAGGAUGACUGCCCUAUGGGUUGUAAACUGCUUUUAUAUGAGAAGAAACCUCCGAACGUGUUCGGAGCUGACGGUAUCAUAUGAAUAAGGAUCGGCUAACUCCGUGCCAGCAGCCGCGGUAAUACGGAGGAUCCAAGCGUUGUCCGGAUUUACUGGGUCUAAAGGGUGCGUAGGCGGAUUGGUAAGUCAGUGGUGAAAGUCUGCAGCUUAA